UCUAUGUUUCUCUGAUGAUGUAUAAACACUGGUGAUGUUCUGGUGAUGCUUACUCAUGACUGUUGAGUGUCCUACGAGGGUCACCUAUUUGGUGAUGUAGGUGACUCCAACUACUGGUAAAGUUUUCCUGGGUAUGAUAGUUGAUUUUAAUGUCAACAGGCCACAAAUUUGGAUAACCUAGGGAGGGUGCUUCAACUGAGAGACUGUCUUCACUAAUGUGAAAAGAUCAACCCCAAAAUGUGGGUGCCACCUUUUGCCAGUGGUCCAGAUAAAAGAGGGUGUAUCAGAAGGAAACUUACCUGUCUUUUGCUUGAUCAAGCUUCCUUCCUAUGACCAAGCUGAUUUACUUUGUUGCUGCUGCGGAUCUCAAAGUUUCUAGGCUUCCAUCGUUGACUAAGGACCAGUAGCUCUCUAGGAACUUCCACGUUUUCAGCACCAGAUUGGGACUGCUAAGGUUUCUCAGUCUGAUGCAUUUUCCCCGAUGUCUACUGUCCAGCUCAGAGACUUAAACCCCACACUCCUCAUCUUCAGCCUUGAAACAGUCAAUACUCCAGUUUGUCUCUGCUCCAUAACCUCUCAAGUGGUUAAUGGCUCAUAAACAAGUAAUGAAGGCUCAGUUUGUCAGUCUCUUCAAGAGUCCUUGUAGCAUGUAUAGACUUGAAAUUCCAAUACCAAGUCUUGGGCCUCAAGGGCCACAGCUACACAGAGGGAUUGGAAGUAGAGUCAGAGGUUCAAUAUGGAACUUUUCUUCUGUGCAGAUAUUUGUGAUCUAGAUACUGGGGUAAGACAAGAGUGUUAAUCAUCCCUCUUCAUGUGGAGUGUGGUAACUGGUAUAGACAACGCACUUGGCCAAAUAAUGAAGAGUCAAAGAAAAACGAAUCCUAAAGCAGCCUUUUCAUUGCUACAGAAGAUGAAAUUAUUAAAGCUGAAGAAAAAAGGCACGCUAUGAAUUGAAAUUAGCUUGACUGCCUCAGUAAGAAUCCCUGGAAUGAAGAGUAAGCUGUUGGCUUGGUGACCCCAAUAAACGCUGCCUCUCGGUGUUC